rnacentral:rRNA from 1 species
UAACGCGUGGGAAUCUGCCCUCAGGUUCGGAAUAACGACGGGAAACUGUCGCUAAUACCGGAUACGCCCUUAGGGGGAAAGAUUUAUCGCUGAUAGAUGAGCCCGCAUACGAUUAGCUAGUUGGUGAGGUAAUGGCUCACCAAGGCUACGAUCGUUAGCUGGUCUGAGAGGAUGAUCAGCCACACUGGGACUGAGACACGGCCCAGACUCCUACGGGAGGCAGCAGUGGGGAAUAUUGGACAAUGGGCGAAAGCCUGAUCCAGCAAUGCCGCGUGAGUGAUGAAGGCCUUAGGGUUGU